rnacentral:rRNA from 1 species
UACGGGGGGGGCAAGCGUUGUUCGGAAUUACUGGGCGUAAAGGGCUUGUAGGUGGCCAACUAAGUCAGACGUGAAAUCCCUCGGCUUAACCGGGGAACUGCGUCUGAUACUGGAUGGCUAGAGUGUGGGAGAGGGAUGCGGAAUUCCAGGUGUAGCGGUGAAAUGCGUAGAUAUCUGGAGGAACACCGGUGGCGAAGGCGGCAUCCUGGACCGGUAUUGACGCUGAGGAGCGAAAGCCAGGGGAGCAAACGGG